rnacentral:lncRNA from 1 species
GCUUCUUGGUGUUCUGACCUUUUCAAAUUGGGAUUUGAAAGAGAGCUAACGCCAUACACCAUGAAGGUAUGUAGAUGCUUCUGAUGUUCAUGUUUACAGUCUCCUCAUUCUGUUAAGUUUUUGACUUCUUUCAGACUUAAGGUUGAAGCAACUAGCAGAUUCUUUAAUUGCACAUACAUGGCAAUGUAGGACCUUCCCUUUCUAGGCCUUUUAGGGAUGUCUGAAAUUAUUACCUCUCUUAAGUACCUUAACAUGCCCAACAGAUAUAAGCCGCCUGAAAAAUGCCUGUUCAACUUUUCUUAUGUCUUACAAUUUGUUCAUGGGCCCAUCUUAUAGGUUAACAUGUGGCAUGUAUUCCAUUAAAAUGCCUUGGAUUCCAUUAUAGUCUAAAGUUUGAAUGCAAGGUGCUGUUAUAAAUUAGUGUGCAUAAUACUGGAGAUGCACAAAAAUCUGUGCUCUGUGGAUGUUGGUGGUGUUUCCCUUCCUUUCUGUCUAUCCUUAAAACUGUGAAUGUUUGACAAACUUGUGCACAUCAGAUCUCCUCCUUUAUGCUGUGUUUCAUAUGUGGAUUUAUGGAAGGAUUUUAUGGAUUAUUUCCAUAGGUGCAUCCCUCCACAAAUCCACAAUCAAAGGACAGCCUAAGGGUACAUCACCUUUGCCACAUUCUCGCAGAAAAUAUAAGGAUUUCAUUGUAUGUGUCCUCCCUAAAUUUGCAUAGGAAACAAAUCGUGCCAAAUAUAAGGAUUUCAUUUUCUUUGGGAAAUAGGAUCUUAACCUACAAUAUAAGUGGUUGUAGGCAUGAUAAUUGCAGUAGUGGCAAUGCCCCUUCUAAGCGCGGAGGGAAAGAGGGCCUCAGAACAUUUCUUCCCCAAACAACAAACGGCAAAAACAAAAUGGAUUAUCAAGACUCCAGUGAGCUUCAUGAGAAGGUCUAGCUCAUUAAUACCACAAUUUGAACAAAUAGCGAGUACCACCAUUUUCCCUUAGCUGAUUUAAGAAGUCCCUUUACACGUAACAGGUCAGAUUCGAUAUAUCUUUGAGGUAAAACCAAUUUUUUCAACACUGAUUUUUUUUUUUUUUUUUGAGUGUCAGUUCACCUAUUGUUCUAUUGUAUUCAAGAUUUGAAUACUGUUGAACAGCGUGCUGAUUACCCAUAAUCUGUCAUCUCAUGUUCAUCUUUUAUAGUACUUUAUUUCAAUCUAGAUUUGUAUCUUUAUAGUACUUUAUUUCAAUCUAGAUUUGUAUAUCUUUACCUUUUGUGUUUGUUGAGUGCUAGAAAGCAUUAUAUAUUAGUACCUGUCAUCAAUUAACUCAAAGCCAAAUGCCGAUGUUUGAUACCUGCUGCACACGUGCAUGUGGUCGGGGCCCUCUCCCUUAAUGGAAAUUAUAUUCACUCAUGACAAAUACUACUGCUGUGUUGAAUUGAUUGGGUCAAUAGAGGUGUCAACGUGGUUGUGAGUGUCCGCCCUCGCGCAUUUGUUUCCGUGCCUACUGUGCUUUGUUUUGUGCCGUGUUGGAAUUUUAACCUGCCCUGCCCUGCUUGUGCUAGCUCGCUUGUUUGACACCUCUAGCUCAAUAGCAUUGAUCAAUCAGUGCUGGAAGUGGGAUUCAAGUCAAUUUUCAUAAUAAUCUUUGUUUUAUUGAAACAUCAAAUGACCGGGUGUACUACCAAAAACAACGUCAUGUGCCCACCUUGUUCCCUUUUCACACAAGGUGGACGGACAUGUGGCCCCUUGCACAAGGCCACCUGGUAUUUCGGGAAAACUAUAUAAUUUCUUAAACUAUCUACUUGUAUGCCAUGCUUUGUAUGCACUAAUAGCCUUUGUUGACAUGCUUGUUUCAGUUUAUAAGGAAAUUGAACCAUGCAGAUGUGGAAAUUAGCAGACUUUGACGGUAUUGGUUUACAAGUCCACGGUAGGAUCAUCUUCUAACAUGCAUCUUCUGGUGCAACCUAUGGUUUCUCAAUCAAAUAGAAUGGAAUGUUUUUCAGUUCUAUUGAAUCCAUGAUGCCUUGAGAGAGAGAGAGAGAGAGAGAGAGAGAGAGAGAGAGAGCUUGGCAGCAUCUUUCAAUUUAUAUAUAUGGAGUCAUAAAGAAAGGGUCAGAGCAGUGUGGCAAAUACAAAAACAAAUGAGAGGAAUGCAAGUGUGUUGGACCUUCUGAAACAACAUUUUGUUCCUACAAGUACCCCAAGCCAUUGUUUGUUCAUUGGGAAAGAACAAGCAAGUGCAUGCACUCUGGCAGAUAUAUAGGACUCUGAAAUAGGAAACAAAAGCAUAGGAAAAUCAAAAUAGGACUCAUGGAUUCAACUUUAAUGUAUCUUUAUGGAGUAAAUUACUAGUAUAAUGUUUUGACUUAAAAGUUUUCAUGAGCUUCAAAAUUUAUUUUGUUGGUUAAAUACCCUUUUU